CUUCCACGUAGUUGUUGAUAAUCUGGGAGAGAAACAAAGGAGUUGCACAGACAAGAAAGCCAAAAAGCCCAAGGAGUUGGGGAGGGUCUAUCUCCACACGAGUAUGUGAAGCCAUGAAGAGCCCAGAAGGCAGUGGAGAAGAAGGAGAAAGGCUAAUGAAGAACCAGGGCUCUACAGCAGAGCCAG
rnacentral:lncRNA from 12 species